rnacentral:tRNA from 1 species
UGGGAGCGUGGCGGAAUGGUAGACGCAACGGACUUAAUAUCCGUUGAUAUAUUUAAUCGUGAGGGUUCAAGUCCCUCCGCUCCCAA